rnacentral:snRNA from 1 species
CAUCUCUCUUUCAAGGAGG